GACUACAUAGGACAGUGGACACACGAAGUGACGCACCAAGCUUGAGCAGUAGCCUCUUGUUGCCAGCGUCAAAUAUGAUGGGGCAGCCCAGAUGACCGAGUGGCUGAAGAACAAUAUCUGGCUGGCAAACCAAGUUGCGGAGUACAUGAAAUGUACCUCGAUCUAGAGGGCUCAGUGGACCAGACAGAAUGGGGCCAAGAGAAUUGAGAUAGUCGGAGUGUAGCCGCAUCUGCUGUAGACUCCAGGCAUGGACCCGAGCCCUAGGACCAUGCCUCAGGACGACCUGGCAUGAUGACUCCUUGCUGUCCCCAGUCCACCUGGCCGUGCUGCUGCUUCAGUUUCAACUGUUCUGCCUGCGGCUAUGGAAUCCUGACCUGUUCACCGGACGUGCUACCUUGUCCCAGACCUGCUGUUUUCAACUCUCUAGAGACAGCAGGAAUGGUAGAGGGACUUUUAAUGAUUGGCUAUGAAAAGCCAACUGACAUUUACUCCUGAGGUGCUGACUUGCUGCACCCUCGACAACUACUGUGAUUAUUAUUAAUUGACCAUGCUGGUCAUUUAUGAACAUUUGAACAUCUUGGCCAUGUUCUGUUAUAAUUUCCACCCGGCACAGCCAGAAGAGGACUGGCCACCCCUCAUAGCCUGGUUCCUCUCUAGGUUUCUUCCUAGGUUUUGGCCUUUCUAGGGAGUUUUUCCUAGCCACCGUGCUUCUACACCUGCAUUGCUUGCUGUUUGGGGUUUUAGACUGGGUUUCUGUACAGCACUUUGAGAUAUCAGCUGAUGUACGAAGGGCUAUGUAAAUAAAUUUUGAUUUGAUUAUUGUCUUAUUAUAUAACACAUACUUAGACAAUAGGGCUUUGUCUCAAUGUGCUAUUUAAAAAGUAUAUAUUCUUGUACAUUGUGGACAAUUCUCUGAUGUGUAUGUAUGUUCUGAAAUGCAUGCAAUACAAAUUAACUAAUUGAAAUGCAACAUUGUAUCUUGAUUGUGUGUAGGAUGGGAUGGUAGGUAAGGCAAAAAUAUAUAUAAGCAGAAUCAAAAUUAGGAUUACACUGACAAUAACCCAAUGAUUACAUAAAACAAUUACCCAGCUGCUGGGUCAAUCCCCCAACACAAUGUGCUGGGUGUAUGUCACAACCCAGCAAUAUAGUCUGAUUUACCCAGCAGCUGGGUCAAGCCCUUAAACCAAUGUGCUGGGUUAGAAGCACAACCCAACCCUGCUCAGUUAAAUUAACAAUGCAUUUUUUUGAGUGUAACAAUAAUUGAUUCUGCACAAAUUAUAUGAAUUGUCAUAUUAGGCA